AUUGAACGCUGGCGGCAUGCCUUACACAUGCAAGUCGAACGGCAGCACGGGAGCAAUCCUGGUGGCGAGUGGCGAACGGGUGAGUAAUACAUCCGAACGUGCCCAAUCGUGGGGGAUAACGCAGCGAAAGCUGUGCUAAUACCGCAUGAGAUCUACGGAUGAAAGCAGGGGACCGCAAGGCCUUGCGCGAAUGGAGCGGCCGAUGGCAGAUUAGGUAGUUGGUGAGGUAAAGGCUCACCAAGCCUGCGAUCUGUAGCUGGUCUGAGAGGACGACCAGCCACACUGGGACUGAGACACGGCCCAGACUCCUACGGGAGGCAGCAGUGGGGAAUUUUGGACAAUGGGCGCAAGCCUGAUCCAGCCAUGCCGCGUGCAGGAUGAAGGCCUUCGGGUUGUAAACUGCUUUUGUACGGAACGAAAAGGCUUUCUCUAAUAAAGGGGGCUCAUGACGGUACCGUAAGAAUAAGCACCGGCUAACUACGUGCCAGCAGCCGCGGUAAUACGUAGGGUGCAAGCGUUAAUCGGAAUUACUGGGCGUAAAGCGUGCGCAGGCGGUGAUGUAAGACAGUUGUGAAAUCCCCGGGCUCAACCUGGGAACUGCAUCUGUGACUGCAUCGCUGGAGUGCGGCAGAGGGGGAUGGAAUUCCGCGUGUAGCAGUGAAAUGCGUAGAUAUGCGGAGGAACACCGAUGGCGAAGGCAAUCCCUGGGCCUGCACUGACGCUCAUGCACGAAAGCGUGGGGAGCAACAGGAUUAGAUACCCUGGUAGUCCACGCCCUAACGAUGUCAACUGGNUGUUGGGUCUUCACUGACUCAGUAACGAAGCUACGCGUGAAGUGACCGCCUGGGGAGUACGGCCGCAGGUUGAA
rnacentral:rRNA from 1 species